rnacentral:misc_RNA from 1 species
GUAGGGAUCAUUUAUGGUUUUUAAUUAAUCAUUUAUUGAUUAAUUUUGAACGAUAUUUACAAAAAAUAGCUCUGUGCAAUGGAGCACACGGCUCGUGCAUCGAUGAAGCCCGCGGCAAAAAGCGAUAUGUAAUGAGAUUCGCUAGCCUCGAGAUUCAUCAAAUUGGUGAACACAUCCAAAACCUGCAAAGGUACUUGCGUUAGAGUGCCAGUUUUAUUUAAUUGCUUCUUGGUAAAGGUGAAUAGUUAUCUAUUUAAUCCCUAGCCAGGUAGAAUGAAUAGUACUGGUAUCAGUACAGUUUUGUGGUACAAAAUUCUCUCACGAGAAGGAUGUAUAACUAACUUACUGGCCUCUAAUGUAAGAGGGUACCCCCUGGAUUUAAGCAUAUUAAUAAGGGGAGGAAAAGAAAUCAACAGAGAUUCUCUUAGUACCAGCGAGGGAAAAGAGAAAAGCCCAUCCUGAAUCCGGAUUUACGUCUGGAAAUGUAGGGUGUGGAUGCUAGUCCUUGUGUCUAGAAGCGUGAAAUACCCUGUAAUGGGGAAUUCAUUCGUGAAUCCAAAGAGGGUGUUAGACCCGUUAGCGCUUCAUUAGAUGCUGUAAGGAAUAGUAUCUGCGAGUAGGAUUGUUUGAUAGUACAAUCUGAAUAUAGGGGAUAAACUUCCUCUAAGGCUAAAUAUAAUGCACGAGACCGUUAGUAAACAAGUACCGUGAGGGAACGUUGAAAAGUACUCUGGUAAGAGGGUGAAAAGAGUGUGAAAUUGCAUAGAUUUAAGCGUAACCAAGUACCGCCGCCUGUAGUAUUCUUUUUUGGUUUACUAUAGGUAUCCAACAACUCUGUUUCUGUCUAAUUGGACGGAGAUUGGGGAUCACAUGCCAAACAUGCCGUUGUAGUUUAGUUGUAGGUAUGAAAAGCUUGUGGCUGCCUCCGGUUUCGCGACUGCGGGGUGGUUUCGGGUUCUAGUAUUUAUGAUUAAACGCAAAUAACCGGUCAUUGGUAUAUUGUUGGUAUGGUAUUUGGGAACGUCCCGUCUUGAAACACGGACCAAGGAGUCUAGCAUAUCUGCAAGCCGUAGCGAUUUUAAUCGUGAAGGCGUAAUGAAAGUGUAUUGUGUUAACAGCACAAACCGGGCCUUUUGGUCUGAGUUAGAGUAAAUAUGCUAGUACCCGAAAGGUGAUGAACUAUGCCCGAACUGGUCGAAGCCAGGAGAAAUCCUGGUGGAGGACCUCCCGCGGUGCUGACGUGCAAAUCGCUCGUCCGAGUUGGGUAUAGGAGCGAAAGACUCAUCGAAUCGCCUAGUAGCUGGUUCCUGC